rnacentral:rRNA from 1 species
GAUGAACGCUGGCGGCGUGCCUAACACAUGCAAGUCGAACGGGGUUCUAUGUCGGAAGUUUUCGGAUGGAAGAGAUAGGAUCCAGUGGCGGACGGGUGAGUAACACGUGGGUAACCUGCCUCAUAGAGGGGGAUAACAGAGAGAAAUCACUGCUAAUACCGCAUAAGCACACGGGAUCGCAUGAUCCUGGGUGAAAAGAUUUAUCGCUAUGAGAUGGACUCGCGUCUGAUUAGCUGGUUGGCGGGGUAAAGGCCCACCAAGGCGACGAUCAGUAGCCGAUCUGAGAGGAUGGCCGGCCACAUUGGGACUGAGACACGGCCCAGACUCCUACGGGAGGCAGCAGUGGGGGAUAUUGCACAAUGGAGGGAACUCUGAUGCAGCAACGCCGCGUGAGUGAAGAAGUAUUUCGGUAUGUAAAGCUCUAUCAGCAGGGAAGAUGAUGACAGUACCU